GCAGCCGCGGUAAUACGUAGGUGGCAAGCGUUGUCCGGAUUUACUGGGUGUAAAGGGCGUGUAGGCGGGUGAGUAAGUCAGAUGUGAAAUACCGGGGCUCAACCCCGGGGCUGCAUUUGAAACUACUUAUCUUGAGUAUCGGAGAGGAAAGCGGAAUUCCCAGUGUAGCGGUGAAAUGCGUAGAUAUUGGGAGGAACACCAGUGGCGAAGGCGGCUUUCUGGACGACAACUGACGCUGAGGCGCGAAAGCGUGGGUAGCAAACAGGAUUAGAUACCCC
rnacentral:rRNA from 1 species